rnacentral:rRNA from 1 species
GAAGAGAGAGUUCAAGAGUACGCAAAACCAUUAGAACCUCAAACAGAUGGAACCAUGAAGGUCAAAAGAGGGGAUUCAGCUGGCGGGCGUUCGGCCUGGGGAGCGGUACAAGUUGCAUUUCAGUGAGAGGACUCGGUGUGAAAGGUGAGUUUCCGUGGCCCUUCUCUCCCAUGGUCUGAAUUGCUGGAGGGCUUAGUUCUCCCUCGAGUAGCAGUCGUGGCGACCCGCUGGCCGGACCCCGAGGUCUGCCCCGGACUGGUAGCCUGCACUGCUAUGUAGGUGACGACUGGCGGUGGCACCGACUGGGCCUGGGCGGCGGUCACUACAGGUCACCACGUGAGAGGGGUCUGUAAUCCACCCGACUCAUCUUUAAACACGGACCAAGGAGUCCAACAUGUGCACGAGUCUUAGGGUGUGCUAAACCCGGAGGCGAAAUGAAAGUGAGCCCCUGUUGUACAGAACGAUCCCCUGCCUGCAUCUGGCCCUGCGUGCUGCCUGCGAGAGAGAUUUUCUGCUGUGCUGCGGGUGCCGGCCCUUCACGUGGUUGGUCGGACUGCGGUUGGGGGCGCAGGGCUAAGAUUUGCUGUUGUGCGGUGCAGGCCAUGAGGCACCCUUGGGCAUCCUGCACUCCGACGUCCGCUGGCAAGUACCUGAGAGCACAGCCAUUGUGACUGAAAGAUGGUGAACUAUGCCUGGCGAGGACGAAGCCAGAGGAAACACUGGUGGAGGUCCGAAGCAGUUCUGACUUGCAAAUGAAUUGUCAGAGCUGGGUAUAGGUGUGAAAGACUAUAAAGCUGGUUCCCUCCGAAAUUUCCUUCAGGAUAGUUGGCAUUCUUUUUUAUGAGUUUCAUCCAGUAAAGCGAAUGAUUAGAGGCCUUGGUGGUGCAAUGCCAUCAACCCAUUUUCAAACUUUAAAUUGGUGGGAAGUGGAGUUCGCUCAACCCAUGAAGCUCUAUAAUGUGAGAAUCAGAGUGCCUAGUGGGCUACUUGGUAAGCAGAACUGGCGCUG